GGGGGGGAGAUGCACGCUCGUGGUUUGAGUCUUCCUUCAGUUAGGCAGACUGGCCAGUGGAACGGAGAAGAAAAACAGGAGGAAGAAGCCAGCCAGCCAGUGUGUGCUGCUCCAUCUUCCCCAGAAAGUGCGUCUUUUACUGCUGCCCUUGCACAUCAGACUUUAGACCGCCCGUGGCUGGCUCCUCCAUCCCUCUCGUGAUGAGGCUUCUGGCUUCUUGGACUGUUUCAAAAAUGCUACGCCUUUUUCUAAGGACACUGAAGCGAAGUACUACUGUGUAGCCCAGACUAUUCUCAAAUGUAUAAUCCUCCUGCCCACGCUUCCUAAUGCUGGGAUCACAGGUGUGCAUGACUAUGGCCCUCCCUCCUCGACAUGCCUAUGGUUUGCAAUGCUACAGGUAGAACCCACAGCUGUGUGCUCAGUAGCCAAGCGCUCUACCACGGACUUACACCUCCAACUUACAAACCAGUGUUUCUCUAACCAAUUAAAAAUUAGUUCUUUUGAAACUUGUACACAUACUCGUCUGAAUAUACACCAGGUGUGGGCAGGCAGCCACAGAAGCUAAUGUUCCAAACUCCAGAGCUGGACUUACAGGCAGGGGGCAGAUUCCUGCCAUGGGUGCUGGGAAUUGAAUGCAGGUCCCCUGGAAGAGCAGCAAGUUGUAAGUGCCAACCUUCUCUCCAGCCGCUCUGUGUAUUUUUUUUUUUUAAAUUGCUUAAAAGAAAGAAGGCAGAAGCAGGAGAAUCUCUGAGUCCAAGGCCACGCUGGUUUACAGAGUUGGUUUCGGGCACCCAGGGCCCCACAGAGAAACCCUAUAAAUGCAUCUAAUGGGUUCAUGUGUGCAUAUCACAUAUAUGCAGGGGCCUGAGGUCAGAAGAGGUUGUCAGAUACCCCAGCACUGCUGUGAAAGACUGUGAAGUGUCACUUGGAUCCCAUGUAUCUCAAAACAGAAACAAAAAACCGGAACCCAAUCCUCAAGGGCACUCUGGUCCACACUGUUUCGCCCGUGUUCUCCACAGUCAGGAUGACAUAUUUAUUGGGAAAAAAAAAAUGAAACCACAGAUGCAAUGCAUUAUACAAAGAAAGGUCUUCAUUCCAUAAUAAAAGUCCUGUGGGGGAGGAAACAAGAGCCAGUGGCUACCUGCCCUGGGAAGGUAGGCACUCGGUGAAAAGUGAGAUUUGCUUACAGGGACUACUCUAAUGGAAAACAGUGGAAAGGGUUAAAAACAGAAGGGGCGGGCAUAAGCAAACAAAAACCAACCCCACCCCUGCGCGGUUUGAGUUUGUUAUAAGCUUGAGACAUUUAGGUUAUCACCAAGAUUUAACCACAUCCCUCGGUUUGUCCCUAGUGUGGCAAUCGAAUUUUAACUUAGGGUCUUCAAACCUGAGGUAGUUGAGGGUCACCUGAAACACAUUUCUGGAAGGUUCUAUCCUCACAGCUGGAUCCAGUCAUGUCUAACCAACCAUUCCUGGCUUCGGCUCCUGGGAGAGGAAGCACUCCAUCACUGAGUUUGCUGGUCCUGUGUUUGGGCUGGACCUGGGAGUCAAAUAGCUCUUCUGGGUCACUGUUGAUGGCUGACAAGUGCUGUCAUGGUGGUUCCCAAUGUUACAGUGUGGUCUCUGAGAACCUGAAAGGCCAAUAUGGAGGAUCCAAGAUGGCGGAGAGAGGAAAGCUGCUCUGGUUAGAGCAGAGUGCAGAUACCACCAGGAUGAAGAGCAGGCAAAACUCAUCCUUGUUGGAUGCCAAUUUGGAGGCUGAUCAAAGAUGGUGGAGACAAAGCAAAGCCCACUGUUUGGAAGGCUAAUACAGGUGAUCCAAGAUGGCGAGGCUGGUCAAUGUUGGGCCCAAAGACUUGCUUUUCUAGCAAGGUCCCCAGAGAUAUGGAAAGGCAACAGAGUAGCACAUUUGCCAGCUAUUAAAAGUUAGGAUCAGUGACAGAGAUCCUUCUACAACCUAAUUCCUGACCAAGAAGUAAAACAUCCCUCAGACGCAAGAUGAGGACUAACACCUCCUGAGAGAGGCCACAGCACCCUAAUGUGACCAGAAUGACAAGUGCUGAUGACCCUGGGUUACCUGGUAUAAACCCCGGUGUCUGACUCUGCAGCCACACCAGUUCUGAGACAGGAUGUCCGGGAUGUGUUUGAUUCUCUCGGCUACUGGGCUAUGCACAUAGGAUUCUGGGAAGUGUUGUGGGCAGCACAGCCAAUAAGCCAUUUAAAGGAUAGCCUGGUUUUUGUUUUUGUGAUAAGGUCUUAGUAAAUAGCCCAGGCCACUCCGUCCCCCUGCCUCCGAUUCUCUGGGAUCAGAGUUGUGUACUGACGAACUUGGUAUAAUCACUGAAAAUCUCUUGCUGAGCCAUGACCUAAGCCAACAGAA
rnacentral:sRNA from 1 species